rfam:Atelerix albiventris clone LB4-341B4, complete sequence.
CCCUCACCCUACCACUGGGCCUAUCUGUCUAAGUAUCAGGAUAAUAAAUGGAAAUGGCCCCAGAACUUGAGGGGGCAGGAGCCACGUGACCAUCCACGAAAACCACUUG